rnacentral:lncRNA from 1 species
CUGAACUCAGGGCCGAGAGGAGGAUGCAGUCAUGGAUGAUGUCAUAUUGUUGAUGUGAUAUUGACCAUGAGGUAAUAUUAGCGGUGGGACAUGGGAGCUGCCUGCAGCCAUUUUGCCACUGGACAGAGACCCCACCUGAGAACGGUACCAAUGCAAGCAGAAUGGGACCAAGAGAGGCAGAGAGAACAUCCCUUCCUUUAUUCCUUCUGCAUCUAUUGGUUAAGCCCCACUCUGUGCGGUGCCUGUUCCUGGCCUGGGGAACAGCAGUGACCAAGAUGAAGUCCCCAUCCUCAGGAGUCAUCGACAUUCUAGCAUAUAUGUAAACAGGAGCCAGCAGUCACCCCCUAGACCAAACCUGAGCUGGACUCUCUGCCACUGGCUCCUGCAGGCCCGAGGCAAUCAAUGUUGUUGGGUGAGCAAAUAGGUAAGUGAAUAAACAGUAACCAGAAGUCUCUAGGAACAUAUGCUACCCCUGGCAAUGCAUCAGCAGCCCGUGUCCCUACGGCCUCAUCAACCCUGGGUAUUAUCUUCAAUCAACUUUCGAGCCUAGAAUAUGAAUUACAAGGAGGAAGCAACUGAUCUGAGGAGAGAGAGAAGGGAUGGCUGGCCUCUCUUCCCGCCAUGUCUGGGCACUCAUCCGCACACGGCUGGUCUGCGCUUGCUUUGUUCUCCGCUCUGAGCUGUUGUCUUAUGGUAGGUUGUGACAUUUCCACCUGGAGGUGGCUCGCUUGUUGCUCUGGGGACGUUUUUAUUUUUUUAUUUAAAGAGAAUUUCCGUGGCAGUCUGUGCCACCAAGGGCCAUCGGGAGCCCCUGGCAAUAUGAUUCUGUCUGAAGAACAAAGAGGCAAAUUUGCAGAAGAUCAAAUGCAAAGGCAUCGUGAGAGGAGAGGGCUGGGAGUUAUAGAUGAAAACGGCACCGGUUCCAGCCCGAGAUCUGAGAGCCAUGAAUAAUGGAAGAUCCACACACAGCCUGGGGUGCGCCGCUGUUGGGGGUGUGCAAGGAGAAGGGUCCCCCCCACCUCGCUGAAGAUGUCAGCUUGCCAGGAAGACGCAGGGCCCAGCAGCCGCUCCAGGCAGGGUCGACACAAAUGGAAAGAGCAGUGAAGAGAAAGAGGACGGGGCUAAGGGGCCCAAAAGCUGGAGCGCCCACAGCGGCGGGGAUUCUGUGUCGCUGCUGUGGCUGCGUGCGUUGUGAUGGAGGCUCAGCUAUAGCAAAAAUACCAUCCCAGAUUGCCAAAGUGGGGUCCAGAUGUCCCUGGGGACUUAGGGGAAAUGCAGGGGACAUGAGAGCUCUGCUGCUGGACCUUCACUGGCUGGUGCGCCUUCUCUGCCAGGCUCGGGAAGGUGCCCCUGCAGCCUAGUCUGGGGGUACGUGCUCUAUGCCCCUUCCCCUGGGUGUCUACCUGUCCUCUGACCUACUCUGUGCCCACAUCAUCCUCAGCUCAUUCCCCUCUGCCUGCCUUGCCUUAACGGCCCAUUGCCCCUCCCAGGUCCCCAAGUCCACCCUCCAGGCUCAGGGCCUCUUCUCCGCACCCCUGCUCUACUCUCCGGCCCUGGCCCCCAUCCUCCACCGUCCUCACACUCCUCCCACCUCCCCAGGCCUCGUCCUCCCCUCUGCCCUAGUCUCCUGCCCCUCUUCUGGAGUUCCCAGACCUCUGGGUUGGCUGCUCCAUGUUUCCACAGUUGUCCCGCCUGCUGGGUCCUUGAGAUCAUAGCCCCAGACCCUUCUCUCUGUGCAGGUCUGACUCAUCUGGUCCCCUAUGCAGCACUGUGUCUCUGGGGACAUGGCCUGUCCUUCUGAGAGUGGACUCUCAUCAUUCUUUUUGGCCACCUAGUACCAGCACCUUCUUCCUAACAAGGAAGAGCCUGCCUCCCUCUGUGUAAGCUGAAAUGCCAGACAUUCGCCCUCUAAGCCUUUCUGACCGCUAGGACCCCUAUCAGUCACAUCCCUCCAACUAAUGAGGGUCACAAAGAAGCAGGCACCACCCGGAAUCCGGUAAUCUGUCUACUGAUGGCAGGGGCUGCGCCGGCUGCGGGAGCAGCUUCAUCUGGCUCCCAGAAGCAGGGGGCAGGACCCGG